rnacentral:lncRNA from 1 species
CAUGAUGUUAUUUCCCACUUCACAAGCACUUCAGGCUGAUAAACUAGAGUGAUCCACAUCCCAGCAGAUUUGUUUGAACUACUUUCUAAAGCUUCUGAUGGCUGACUGUGAAACAAGGCCCCUGUUGAUUAAAGAAUGGGUUGUUACGGCACCACAGUUGUAGGAGUGGAAGAGGCAAUGGGACCUAGCAGAUGGAGUGCUGCUGUGGGAUUCAGGAGACCUGAGUUCUGUUUCAAAUUCCACCAUUGAUUUGGUAUGUGAACUUGAGCAAGUUAUUUAAUUUAUUUAUGCUUUAGUUUUCCCAUCAGUAAAACGGGUGCAAUGCCAUUAACCUCCACUUCCAUGCUCUUUCUGUUCAACUAAUCUAAAGAGCUAUAUGAUAGGUAGAUAUUAUUAUAUGACCAGAAGACACUGAAAUCAUUAGAAUAGUUAAAACAGAUGCCAAAAUAGUUAGGAUACAAAACAUGGACUAUCAGAUUUCUGCAUGGUAACCAUUAGCCAAGCUUACACUUUUAUAAAACAGACACAAUAUCA